CAGCCUUUUUAUUCCACUUUCCCCCAAAGCAUGGCUACAGAACCUUCUCUUCAUUCAUCAAUAUUUACUAACACAACAACAUGAGGUAAUGAUGUUCAACAAACUACUACAGAGAAAAGGAAAUCUAAAACAAGAUACCAUACAUCACUAUCCCUGGAGUCCACCGUCAUGUCCCUGUGAAGAUGGUCCUCUACUGGUUCUCUCUGUCUUCUGUCCUUAGCCUCACUGCCACUGGAGCAAUGGCCUACUCUUUCCCAUGCUUGGAAGUCUCUUUUAUCUUGUCCUUCCCAGACCUACAGUCAAAAUGCACUGUUCCUGCCUAUCUGCCACCAUGAGAAAAAACGUAGCAAUACUGUUAUUACUCACAAUGCCAUGCUCUUGGGAACGUGUUUGCAUUGAAACAAUAUAGAUCUGUAUUUCUGCAAUGCUGUAAUUCCGUUUAUUGAAUGCUGAUUAUAUCCUUACUUAGGAUGCUGCAUCAUCCAUCAUGCCACUCAUGAAUAUUGGCUUCCAGUGACUCCCUCCAAUGUUGCUGCUGUAUUUCAUUGACGAUGACCACAAAUGCAAGUCUUUUCUAGAAUAUGGAGGAAAAUGUGAACAAUAAUUUGUUUCCUGGUUAUGCUGAACUUACCAUUUGGAAUUUUAUAAUGAAUGUAGAACAAUACAUCUUCCAACUUUGUCUUCUCUUGAAUUCUUUAUGCGGUAAUCACUGCAUUCCUAGAAAGUGAUUAUUUUAAUGUUAACCGCACCCUGCCUUCCAUUCACUGCCAGCAGCAGAGAGGACUGUAGGAGAAAUGAGAAGAGUGGCCUCAUUGGCAGAAGAAAUGUCUGUUUCUCAUCAGGCAUGAUGACUUAAGCUGACCUGGGAAAGCAUGAUGUCUUCACAUCAAUGGAGGUGGAAGAGGAUGUCAAUUGGGGCCACCCAGAGGAAGGGAUGCCUGCUGCCACCCUGGGUUGCCCUUGGUGCUAAAGAUCAGAGGCAGCACCAUAAAACAAAACCAAGCAAGAGCUGACCUGUGGGCCCCACACAUACAGCUCAAACCAAGGGUCAAUGGUUUUACCUUUGGCAGCCCAGGACCCUGAACCUAUCCUGUGUUUUAUGUUUGAGAGUCACAGCCCACUCUCACAUGAUUCUGUGAAAGAAAUAUGACACCAGGCAAAAGGAGAAAUCCACUUGCCACGAUGCCUUCCUGGAACAAGAGUCAGCCAAGUACCUCAAGACAACCCUGUGGCCUGGGUCCCAGAACUCCUCGGAGCUUCUUGGAAAACUCAUGUGCUGGGUAGAUGGUAGGAGAGCACCAGGAAGGGGCUGAAGGGAGACUGGGGCCCACGUGGGUCCCAGACCAGGUUAGGGCACCCCACCAGGAGGGCUCUGCUGGCCCUGGCUGGUCCCAGGCACCAGAGGAGGCUUAAGAAAUUUCAAAGAAGAUGCUUCUGGAGACUAGAUCCCAUACAGAAUCAGAUCUGAGCUUGGUUCACCCUACUCUGC
rnacentral:lncRNA from 1 species